AUGGACCAACCAGAGUGCAGUGUUUAUGGGCAGUUCCUUUUGUGUUUGCCUUACAUGAUUUUCCAAGGUUACUCACAUCAGCUCCUUCUCCCCAAUUUGGGGGUAUGUUUUUUAACAGCUGCCAAGUCAUGCAGAGACCGUCAGCUGGUACAAGGAGGAGACUGUAGGGGAGUUAUCACUUCCUUCUCGAGACCACAGAUACACUUCAAAUUAACCAUGCAAAGUCCUGCCCAGGAUUCAGGAAAGAAAAAAAUAGACAAGAAAUUCUUACACUGUCGUCUCUCCCUCUCUCCUCCCAAGCGGUGCACAGCGGGGCUGGGGCUCGCUAAGGUAGGACCAAGGGCUUCCCGGUUUUCACUAGGUCUGUGCUCCAAGCAGAACAGGCGUCCUCCGAUGCCAAGGUGGUACUGGGAGAGGCGGCAGAAAUACCGGGGCCCAAUGCCGGGCGUGGCCGUCCCACGGUCUGCGACACGGCGGCCUGAGGCCCUCCUCCAGCGACGGGCUCCUGGAACACCGUGUGCGUCUCAGGCCGCAGCCCGGGCCGAAGGGAAGGCGUGCGCCGAGGUCAGCAGCCUCUCCCGCCCUCGGAGGGAGGACGGCCCGGGCUCUCGCGGCCCCGCGGGGAGCGGGAGGCGGCGGCGUCGGCGUCGGCGUCGGCGGGCGGUGCGCGGACCUCAGGGCGGCCACGCGAGCACGGGCCUCCCCACGCGGCCGGCGGCUGCGCAGACGCCACGGGGAGGCCGGCGGAGGCGCGAGCGGCGCGGGAGGCAGGAGCGCACGCAGGGCGGGGGGAGGGGGUGGGGAAAGGUUGGGCGCACGUGGCUGCGGGGGCGCAGGCGCGGUGGGCGGAGGGGGAAGGGCGGGCUCACGUGCCAGGGGCUGCGCAGGCGCAGUUGGCAGGGGCGAUGUCCAGGGCUGGCGGCGCGCAUGCGUGAUGGGCUGUGUGUGUGUGUGUGUGUGUGUGUGUGUGUCUGUGUGUGUAGGAGGGCGUCGGACGCGCCGUCGGAUUGGUGGUAG
rnacentral:lncRNA from 1 species